UGCAUUUUAGGAUAUCCUAAAAUUGCAUUUUAGGUUAUUAAGCGUCACUUUUGGUCGGCUCUUAGUGCAAAAAUAAAUUCAGCAUAUUAAGCGGUAAGGGCAAAUGGAGCAAAUAAUGGCGCAAAGUGAUUUAGGCUCUCCACAAAAAUGAUUUCUUUCACAAUCCAGUAGCAUCUCCAUGAUCUAGGCAGCAUCUGCUUUCAUCUCAGCUGAUCGGUGACAUUCCCUUCCCCCACUGUCUGCAAUGAUAACUGACCUUGGCCUCACUCAGUCUCAGCAUUCUACCUUUAGUUCCCUACUGACCAUAGGUGCCAUGAUUGGUGCAAUAACAAGUGGUCGUGUUGUAGAUUUCCGGGGGAGAACAGUGGCAAGUGCUUUACUUUGUGACGAGUCCUU